GAUGAACGCUGACAGAAUGCUUAACACAUGCAAGUCUUUGGCGAAGCUGUGCUUGCACAGCCUAGCCAAGGCGGACGGGUGAGUAACGCGUAAGGAACUUGCCCUGCAGUCAGGGAUAACAGACGGAAACGACUGAUAAGACCUGGUCAAGUCAGGCGGACUCAUGUCCAGCCUGAUGAAAAGAGAUGCUGCAGGAGAGCCUUGCGUCCUAUUAGCUUGUUGGUGGGGUAACGGCCCACCAAGGCGAUGAUAGGUAGCCGGCCUGAGAGGGUGGACGGCCACAAGGGGACUGAGAUACGGCCCUUACUCCUACGGGAGGCAGCAGUGGGGAAUAUUGGACAAUGGGGGCAACCCUGAUCCAGCAAUUCUGUGUGCACGAUGAAGGUUUUCGGAUUGUAAAGUGCUUUCAGCAGGGAAGAAAAAAAUGACGGUACCUGCAGAAGAAGCUACGGCUAAAUACGUG
rnacentral:rRNA from 1 species